UGCUGCUAAGGGUCUAUCAUUUCUCCAUAGUGAUGAGGCCAAAGUGAUACAUCGAAACCUUAAGGCUUCUAAUAUUCUUCUUGAUUCAAACUAUAAUGCCAAACUCUCCGAUUUUUGGUUGGCCAAGGAUGGGCCAACUGGUAGUAAGAGCCAUGUUUCGACGCGAGUAAUGGGUACUAUUGGGUAUGCAGCACCAGAGUAUAUGGCCACAGGUAUCUUUCUUCUGUUCUCGACUUUGUUCAAAUCCAUAUUUGACAUUACUGGUUCUUGUUGAAAAAAUUGAUCCUCUGCUAUGUGCUUUAACUAUCAUCAUGCUAAUCAAAUGUUUAUGCAUCUGCUGAAAUAGUUGUCGAUUUGAUAUGAAUUAUGGCUUUUACCGACUUUUAUCUCACUUUGUUUAUUUCUUAUGAAGGUCAUCUAACUAAGAAGAGUGACAUAUAUAGUUUCGGGGUUGUACUUCUUGAAAUUUUAUCCGGCAGGCGAGCUAUAGACAAAAGCAAACCAUCCAGGGAAGAAAAUUUAGUUGACUGGGCAAGGCCUUAUCUUGGCAGCAAACGCAAAAUUUUCCAAGUUAUGGAUGCCCGACUUGAAGGCCAGUAUUCAUUGAAAGAUGCACUAAAAGCAGCUACUCUUGCAGUACAAUGCCUAUCAACAGAGCCAAAGUUUAGACCAGAUGUGGAAGAAUUGGUAAAAGCAUUGGAGCAAUUGCUCGAGUCCAAUGACAACGAGGGGUCUCGGGGCUCUCAAAGCGAAAACCCCCGAAAAAGGAAUCAAAGUUCAAGCAAUGGUCCUAAAUAUCGUAGGAGAAGUACUAAUGAAAUUUCUGGUAGAAAAGCUGUCUCUCAUCCAAAACCAACUGCUUCUCCUCUGCAUAAAUAGAAGAGUAAAAUAUGCAUGCUUUACUACUCGCUUCCAUCCAAAGAAAAUCAUGAAUUGCAUUGUAUGAAUAUAAAUGGUAUGUUACAUAAGAUAUGUUGUUGUACAGUUCUUCAUUUCCAUGAAAUCUAAAUUUGAUAUUUCUUUGAGGUGUUUUCUUUUCGCCUUUCGGUGGUGAUAAACAUGCAACUUCUGUAAAUUGUCAACAGCUUGUUAGUUGCAUUUGCACAGAUGAAAAUGUUUGCA
rnacentral:misc_RNA from 1 species